rnacentral:rRNA from 1 species
CUCAGGUGGACGGGGUGAAUAUCCCAAGGCGCGUGAGAGAACCCUGGUUAAGGAACUCGCAAAUUGACACCGUAACUUCGGGAGAAGGUGUGCCGCUGGCGGUUAGUGACUUCGCGUCACGAAGCUGUCGGUGGUCGCAGUGAAAUGGCGGUUGUGACUGUUUACUAAAAACACAGGACUCUGCGAAGUCGUAAGACGACGUAUAGGGUCUGAUGCCUGCCCGGUGCUGGAAGGUUAAGGGGAUAUGUCAGCGCAAGCGAAGCAUUGAACCGAAGCCCCAGUAAACGGCGGCCGUAACGAUAACGGUCCUAAGGUAGCGAAAUUCCUUGUCGGGUAAGUUCCGACCUGCACGAGGGCAUAACAACGUCCGCACUGUCUCGACCAGGGACUCAGCGAAAUUACAUUGGGGGUGAAGAUGCCCUCUACCCGCGGAAAGACGGAAAGACCCCAUGAACCUUUACUGCAACUUGGCAGUGAUUUUCGGGUUGUUCUGCGUAGGAUAGGUGGGAGGCUUUGAAGCCGGGCUUCCGGGUUCGGCAGAGCCAACGUUGAAAUACCACCCUGAAUAAUCUGGAAAUCUAACCUGCGCCCAUGAUCUGGGCGAGGGACACUGCCUGGUGGGCAGUUUGACUGGGGCGGUCGCCUCCUAAAUUGUAACGGAGGCGUGCGACGGUUCCCUCAGGCUGAUUGGAAACCAGCCGUAGAGUGCAAACGCAUAAGGGAGCUUUACUGCGAGACUGACAAGUCGAACAGUUGCGAAAGCAGGUGUUAGUGAUCCGGUGGUACCACAUGGAAGGGCCAUCGCUCAUCGGAUAAAAGGUACUCUGGGGAUAACAGGCUGAUCGCGCCUGAGAGUUCACAUCGGCGGCGCGGUUUGGCACCUCGAUGUCGGCUCAUCGCAUCCUGGGGCUGGAGCAGGUCCCAAGGGUUUGGCUGUUCGCCAAUUAAAGCGGUACGCGAGCUGGGUUUAAAACGUCGUGAGACAGUUUGGUCCCUAUCUUCCGUGGGCGCAGGACACUUGAGAGGAGCUAUCCAUAGUACGAGAGGACCUGGAUGGACGAACCUCUGGUGCUCCGGUUGUCACGCCAGUGGCAUAGCCGGGUAGCCAUGUUCGGAACAGAUAACCGCUGAAGGCAUAUAAGCGGGAAGCUGGCCUCAAGACUAGGUGUCCCUGACGCAAGUCACUAAAGGCCCCUCGAAGACUACGAGGUUGAUAGGCUCGGUGUGGAAGCGCUGCGAGGCGUGGAGCUAACGAGUACUAAUAGGCCGUGCGACUUGACCU